UGGGGAGUAUUGGACAAUGGGCGAAAGCCUGAUCCAGCAAUGCCGCGUGAGUGAUGAAGGCCUUAGGGUUGUAAAGCUCUUUUACCCGGGAUGAUAAUGACAGUACCGGGAGAAUAAGCUCCGGCUAACUCCGUGCCAGCAGCCGCGGUAAUACGGAGGGAGCUAGCGUUGUUCGGAAUCACUGGGCGUAAAGCGUACGUAGGCGGCUAUUCAAGUCAGAGGUGAAAGCCCGGGGCUCAACCCCGGAACUGCCUUUGAAACUAGAUGGCUAGAAUCUUGGAGAGGCGAGUGGAAUUCCGAGUGUAGAGGUGAAAUUCGUAGAUAUUCGGAAGAACACCAGUGGCGAAGGCGACUCGCUGGACAAGUAUUGACGCUGAGGUACGAAAGCGUGGGGAGCAAACAGGAUUAGAUACCCACGUAGUCCCUGAGCGGGCUGGCAAGGCGCAU
rnacentral:rRNA from 1 species